GCUCGAGGUGGGGGAGGAGAAAGCUGGCUUGUGAUUGCUCCGUUGCUUCCGCCCGUAGCUGGUGCGCUCGGAGAUUCGCUUUCCGCCCUGAAAGUGACGGGAAGAAGCCACCUAAAAGCUGGAGAGGUUGUAGUUUCGGCGGUGUCGAUGGGCUCCUUUGCUCCAGCUCAAAGCCGCCUUAACUCUCAACUAAGCAUGCUCAAAAUUGCCGGUAUCCGGGUGUGAUUUUACGAAUCACAGUAACAUCAGGCUGCAAUCCAGUAUUUUGGAGCAACCCUUGUUGAGCAGGGUAAUGCUUCCUGCCCGGCAGUUCCAUCAGCCUGAUGACGAACAUCCUGGGUCAGGACGUCACCAGCACUCCAUGCAUUAGCACUGGUGAUCACACGCUUAAGAUGGUAGACUGUUUUGUCUAUCCAAAUUUCUCCAUAACCAGCAGCCUCCAUCAAUGCUGAGCUGGACAAGCAUACUGGCAAUGCAGCUACAACAAUGUGAGGCUAACAUCCCAUACCAAGAUAAAGGUCUACAAUACUUGUGUGUUAAGCACGCUGCUUAUGGAAAAACUGAGGGCAGUCCGCCCAUCCCUCAGUGUGUUCUCACAACAGACCUACGUGUGACUUAACCACAAUCACCUAAUGACUUUCUUGGCUGAGUGAGGAUCUGAAUCUGCGUCUUCCUAGUGCUAGUUUGACACUUUACUUAUCAAUGACUGCUUCUGCUUCUGUUUGCAACUGCCUGUUAAAGAAGACCCCUGCUGAUCAAUGAGUAAGAGCACAUCUACUGGGGGAACAGAGUGUACAACAACACAAAAUGUGAUGGAGGAAAGUGUUACCGGAAUGCCAUAGGAGAGCCGCAUGUGAGUCCGCAGUGCUGUCAAGCCGCCAGGCACCAGUCCGAGGCAACAGUUCUCCCCGUAUUUGCGUGACACGUAACAGGCUAGGAUUGCCGGGCAGAGAAGCCCAACACAACCUGCCCAAAUGAAACACACAGGUGAGGAGGCAAACUUCAGUGAAAGGGAAUCAGUAACCCUAACUCUGCCCUUCUUAAAAUAUA